CUGCUCCAGCAGCUGCAAGCUGCCGGCGGGGAGGAGAAAGCAAAGGUGACAGAGUCUGCCGAUCACUGAGCACUGGCUGUCCAGCCUGAUCGCCCCGACUCCUUCCAACAACCCCACUUCACAGACAGGGAUGUAAGGGUCGGAUAACUAAAGGCAUGACACGGGCUCAUAACAGGAUAGGAGACCACGCUCAGGGAAAAGAAGGGAACCACGCAAACCCAGCCGCCAGGGCAGACCUGCUUCAGGCUCAGCUCUGAGCUCAACAGCAGCCGGGAUACAGCUGUGCCCUGUCCCUCGAAUGCCACCCCUGAGACAUCUGUCCUGCAUACCUUCUUCGAGGGCCCCCUCUUCUGAGAAGCCCUCCCUGACCACACUCCAGACCACACCGUGAAAACCGCCACCUGUGCUGUUUCUGUGUGCCCGACACCAAGCUGCUGCCUCUCAGGGCGUCGUGUCGUGUGACCCUCACAACACGCUUCCCAAGCGGGCACUCUCGCCGUCACCCACUGUGCCCGUGAGUAACUGGGGGCCAGAGAGGUAACCUCAGCCCAGGUGGCGGAGCUGGGAGACGGUGGAGGCAGACGGGAACGCAGCCAGUCUAACCGUUCCAGAACCUGACUCCCCCUGGACCGAGAGCUUCUUGAAGGCCAAGGUGAUAUCCCAUCCAUGCUUGCGUCCUGAUGCCUGGUACAUAGUAGAUGCUCAGUCAGUGUUUGAACCAUAGUCUGUGGGGCCAGGAGGAGGCUGAACCGCUGGCUGUGGGGCUGACUCUGUCCUGCAGACGGGCCUGAUGGCAAUCUCAUUUACGGAAGUGAGAACCAAGGCUCAGAGAUGGUAAGUGACUUGCACAAAGCCGCACUGCAAGGGAGGAAAGUCCAGCUGGGCAGGCAGCCCCAGGGGGUGCUGGGAGCGGCGGUCCCUAGAGGGAGCACGUCUUCCGCGAGGGAGGGACUGGAGGCGAGGCUGUGUUGUUGAUGCGCCAGCCACCCAGUGGUGUCUGACUCUUUGCGACCCCAUGGACUGUAGCCCACCAGGCGCCUCUGUCCAUGCAAUUCUUUAGGCAAGAAUACUGGAGUGGGUAGCCAUUCUCUUCUCCAAGGGAUCUACCUGACCAAGGAUCGAACCUGGAUCUCCCACAUUGUUCAGGUCAGUUCAGUGGCUCAAUCGUGUCUGACUUUUUGAGACCCCAUGGACUGCAGCACGCCAGACUUCCCUGUCCUUCACCAACUCCCAGAUCUUGCUCCAACUCAUGUCCAUUAAGUCGGUGAUGCCAUCCAACCAUCUCAUCCUCUAUCGUCCCCUUCUCCUCCUGCCUUCAGUCUUUCCCAGCAUCAGGGUCUUUCCUAAUGAGUCAGUUCUUCGCAUCAGCUGGCCAAAGUGUUGGAGCUGCAGCUUCAUCAUCAGUCCUUCCAAUGAAUAUUCAGGACUAAUUUCCUUUAGGAUGGACUGGUUGGAUCUCCUUGCAGUCCAAUGGAUUCUUAAGAACCUUCUCCAACACCACAGUUCAAAAGCAUCAAUUCCUCAGCACUCAGCUUUCUUUAUGGUCCAACUCUCACAUCCAUGCAUGACUACUGGAAAAAAACAUAGCCUU